rnacentral:snRNA from 1 species
AAUCCGCUAAGGAGUGUG